GAUGAACGCUGGCGGCGUGCUUAACACAUGCAAGUCGAACGGAAAGGCUCCUGCUUGCAGGGGUACUCGAGUGGCGAACGGGUGAGUAACACGUGGGUGAUCUGCCCUGCACUUCGGGAUAAGCCUGGGGAACUGGGUCUAAUACCGGAUAGGACGAUGGUUUGGAUGCCAUUGUGGAAAGUUUUUCGGUGUGGGAUGAGCUCGCGGCCUAUCAGCUUGUUGGUGGGGUAAUGGCCUACCAAGGCGUCGACGGGUAGCCGGCCUGAGAGGGUGUACGGCCACAUUGGGACUGAGAUACGGCCCAGACUCCUACGGGAGGCAGCAGUGGGGAAUAUUGCACAAUGGGCGCAAGCCUGAUGCAGCGACGCCGCGUGGGGGAUGACGGCCUUCGGGUUGUAAACUCCUUUCGCUAGGGGCGAAGCGCAAGUGACGGUACCUGGAGAAGAAGCACCGGCUAACUACGUGCCAGCAGCCGCGGUAAUACGUAGGGUGCGAGCGUUGUCCGGAAUUACUGGGCGUAAAGAGCUCGUAGGUGGUUUGUCGCGUCGUUUGUGUAAGCCCGCAGCUUAACUGCGGGACUGCAGGCGAUACGGGCAUAACUUGAGUGCUGUAGGGGAGACUGGAAUUCCUGGUGUAGCGGUGGAAUGCGCAGAUAUCAGGAGGAACACCGAUGGCGAAGGCAGGUCUCUGGGCAGUAACUGACGCUGAGGAGCGAAAGCAUGGGUAGCGAACAGGAUUAGAUACCCUGGUAGUCCAUGCCGUAAACGGGGGGCGCUAGGUGUGAGUCCCUUCCACGGGGUUCGUGCCGUAGCUAACGCAUUAAGCGCCCCGCCUGGGGAGUACGGCCGCAAGGCUAAAACUCAAAGGAAUUGACGGGGGCCCGCACAAGCGGCGGAGCAUGUGGAUUAAUUCGAUGCAACGCGAAGAACCUUACCUGGGCUUGACAUACACCAGACCGGGCCAGAGAUGGUCUUUCCCUUUGUGGUUGGUGUACAGGUGGUGCAUGGUCGUCGUCAGCUCGUGUCGUGAGAUGUUGGGUUAAGUCCCGCAACGAGCGCAACCCUUGUCUUAUGUUGCCAGCACGUUAUGGUGGGGACUCGUGAGAGACUGCCGGGGUUAACUCGGAGGAAGGUGGGGAUGACGUCAAAUCAUCAUGCCCCUUAUGUCCAGGGCUUCACACAUGCUACAAUGGUCGGUACAACGCGUCUGCGAGCCUGUGAGGGUGAGCUAAUCGCUGUAAAGCCGGUCGUAGUUCGGAUUGGGGUCUGCAACUCGACCCCAUGAAGUCGGAGUCGCUAGUAAUCGCAGAUCAGCAACGCUGCGGUGAAUACGUUCCCGGGCCU
rnacentral:rRNA from 1 species